rnacentral:rRNA from 1 species
UGAGUGGCGGACGGGUGAGUAACGCGUGGGCAACCUGGCCUGUACAGGGGGAUAACACUUAGAAAUAGGUGCUAAUACCGCAUAACGGGGGAAGCCGCAUGGCUUUUCCCUGAAAACUCCGGUGGUACAGGAUGGGCCCGCGUCUGAUUAGCCAGUUGGCAGGGUAACGGCCUACCAAAGCGACGAUCAGUAGCCGGCCUGAGAGGGCGGACGGCCACACUGGGACUGAGACACGGCCCAGACUCCUACGGGAGGCAGCAG